rnacentral:rRNA from 1 species
GAACGCUGGCGGCGUGCCUAAUACAUGCAAGUCGAGCGAACAGAUGAGGAGCUUGCUCCUCUGACGUUAGCGGCGGACGGGUGAGUAACACGUGGAUAACCUACCUAUAAGACUGGGAUAACUUCGGGAAACCGGAGCUAAUACCGGAUAAUAUAUUGAACCGCAUGGUUCAAUAGUGAAAGACGGUUUUGCUGUCACUUAUAGAUGGAUCCGCGCCGCAUUAGCUAGUUGGUAAGGUAACGGCUUACCAAGGCGACGAUGCGUAGCCGACCUGAGAGGGUGAUCGGCGACACUGGAACGGAGACACGGUCCAGACUCCUACGGGAGGCAGCAGUAGGGAAUCUUCCGCAAUGGACGAAAGCCUGACGGAGCAACGCCGCGUGAGUGAUGAAGGUCUUCGGAUCGUAAAACUCUGUUAUUAGGGAAGAACAAAUGUGUAAGUAACUAUGCACGUCUUGACGGUAGCUAAUCAGAAAGCCACGGCUAACUACGUG